rnacentral:rRNA from 1 species
UACGUAGGGGGCAAGCGUUGUCCGGAUUUACUGGGCGUAAAGAGCGCGUAGGCGGACGCUUAAGUGUGGCCUGAAAGCCCCCGGCUCAACCGGGGAGGGUGGCUGCAAACUGGGCGUCUUGAGGGCGAUAGAGGAGAGCGGAAUUCCUGGUGUAGCGGUGAAAUGCGUAGAUAUCAGGAGGAACACCGGUGGCGAAGGCGGCUUUCUGGACCGUAACUGACGCUGAGACACGAAAGCGUGGGUAGCAAACAGG